GCCGGGCGCGGUGGCUCACGCCUGUAAUCCCAGCACUUUGGGAGGCUGAGGCAGGUGAAUCACCUGAGGUCAGGAGUUUGACCUGGCCAAUAUGGCGAAACCCUGCCUCUA
rnacentral:SRP_RNA from 1 species